CGGCCGAUGCCUGAUUAGCUAGUUGGUGGGGUAAAGGCCCACCAAGGCGACGAUCAGUAGCUGGUCUGAGAGGACGAUCAGCCACACUGGGGCUGAGACACGGCCCAGACUCCUACGGGAGGCAGCAGUGGGGAAUUUUGGACAAUGGGGGCAACCCUGAUCCAGCAAUGCCGCGUGUGUGAAGAAGGCCUUCGGGUUGUAAAGCACUUUUGUCCGGAAAGUGACGGUACCGGAAGAAUAAGCACCGGCUAACUACGUGCCAGCAGCCGCGGUAAUACGUAGGGUGCGAGCGUUAAUCGGAAUUACUGGGCGUAAAGCGUGCGCAGGCGGUUUUGUAAGACAGGCGUGAAAUCCCCGGGCUUAACCUGGGAAUUGCGCUUGUGACUGCAAGGCUAGAGUGCGUCAGAGGGGGGUAGAAUUCCACGUGUAGCAGUGAAAUGCGUAGAG
rnacentral:rRNA from 1 species